UACGUAGGGGGCAAGCGUUGUCCGGAAUCAUUGGGCGGAAAGCGCGCGUAGGCGGCCCGAUAAGUCUGCUGUGAAAGUCCAGGGCUCAACCCUGGAAUGCCGGUGGAUACUGUCGGGCUAGAGUUCGGAAGAGGCAAGUGGAAUUCCUGGUGUAGCGGUGGAAUGCGCAGAUAUCAGGAGGAACACCUAUAGCGAAGGCAGCUUGCUGGGACGACACUGACGCUAAGGCGCGAAAGCGUGGGGAGCGAACAGG
rnacentral:rRNA from 1 species